rnacentral:rRNA from 1 species
AUUGAACGCUGGCGGCAGGCUUAAUACAUGCAAGUCGAGCGAGCGGCGGACGGGUGAGUAAUGUCUGGGAAACUGCCUGAUGGAGGGGGAUAACUACUGGAAAGGGUAGCUACUACCGCUUAACAUCAGAUGUCCCCAGUUGGUAUGCGCUAGUAGGUGGGGUAAUGGCUCACCUAGGCGACGAACCCCAGCUGGUCUGAGAGGAUGACCAGCCACACGGGAACUGAGACACGGUCCAGACUCCUACGGGAGGCAGCAGUGGGGAAUAGUGCACAAUGGGCGCAAGCCUGAUGCAGCCAUGCCGCGUGUGUGAAGAAGGCCUUCGGGUUGUAAAGCACUUUCAGCGAGGAGGCGUUACUAGCAGAAGAAGCACCGGCUAACUCCGUGCCAGCAGCCGCGGUAAUUC